rnacentral:lncRNA from 1 species
CAAGGUGAGGCGCGGACUAGGUCGCUUUCUUAAGACGAAUUUCACGACCCCUUCUCUAAUGAGGUGCAAAAAGGUUCCGAUCGUGUCGCCUAUGGGAUACAACAGCCCAGCCUAUCUCUCCGCAGUAACUUCACCGAAAUUGCACGUUCAAGUGAAGUAGAAGCUUACACCCGACACACAACAAGAGCUCAAUAUAUGUAUAUAAUAUAUGAUCUUUUGAAAGACAUUUUUCUUUCACUCUUUAUAUUCUCUCCUCCAUUUUUUCAAGCCACAAAGCCACCCUUUUAUAGUGUAAAAUAAGGUCAUCAUAAAACCUAUAUUUAAUAUAGAAUUAGGGAAAUUUAUGGAGG